AUGUAUUUUUUUCAGGUAGAUGCUUCCUAUCUGACCACACCCAUCUUCUCUCUGAAUAUAUUUAAUGAGAACUGCUGUGUCCCACAUUCUCCAAAGAAAAGCUCUGCAUUUGAGAGAUGGAACAGGCCCAAGGGUGGCCUGUUGUUGUCUCAGGAUUCUGAAUGCAAGAACAUGUACCGUGGAAACUGCGUUCAUCACAGCUCUGUGACAGAAUAUGACAUCAUCCAUGAACCUGAACUUCUUUCUAUACCUGGAAACACCAGACCACACAGAAUAGGCUCACUUGUGAAGGCCUCUAUUCUUUUGAAGAGAAGCCCCAGGACCUGGGAAGUGUGGGUGGAGCCUGAGACAAUGGUAACAGUGACCUGUCUUGAAUUCUCAGAAUACUAUAAAUACCCUCAGGGCUUGUUUGGGAGAACAUGUGUGUACAUUAAUGAGUGUAUAGUUCGUGGAUCUAAAGCAAAGCACAUAGAUCUCAUCCAUAUGUGUGCUAACAACAACUGGACACAUUUCCCUAGAAUCUUGGAGGUCUUAGGGCUGAAGUUGCCAUCACCAAGCCGGACAGGACACUGCCCAGUAGAGCGCAAAGGGGACUCAUCGUACAUUUGGUACCUGGAGCUUCCCCUGUACCAGUAGCGGCAAGCUAUUUUUCCCUUUGAUGUUCACUUUCCUACAGAUAAAGAGGACUGAAUUCAUUGACUUUCAAAAUUCUUUCCUGUGUGGAAUUAUAGCUCUAAGUCACUAAGCUUGGCUGUGUUAGUAAGACUCCAGUAUUCUAGGCUAAUGGACUUGGAUGUUUGCUUCUCCAUCCUCAGGGGAAACUGAUUGUAAUUCAAGUCUUUUCCAUUUCCUUCGAUUCAUUUGUUAUGUAUUCAACCAUCUCCAUUCAGCAAACAUUUAGUCAAAUGCAAGGCACUGUGCUAGAUCUUUUGUAGCCAACGAAUAACUCUUUUUUUUUUUUUUUUUUUUGUCUGUGCCCACAGCAUGUGAAAGUUCCUGGGCCAGGAGAACCCACAGCAGAGUAGCUCCUCAAGCUGCUGCAGUGACAAUACUGACACUUAAACUGUUGUACCGCAAGAAAACUUUUCCCAACUAAUAAUUCUGGCAUUUGUGUUAUUUUCUCUGAGUCUUAUAAUAACCUUGUGAGUGUAGGUAAGUCAGACAUGUCUAUUCCCACUUUAAUAAUGAGAGAUGUAGCUAUUAACCACAUCUUUUGACUCAUGGAUUAAUUUCUGAUCCAAUAUUCCAAAUACGCUCAACAAAACAAUAUUUUGCAUUUUUAUGGCUGCACCUGCAGCAUAUGGAAGUUCCCAGGCCAGGAUCAAAUCUGAACACGGCUGCCACCUACACUGCAGCUGCCACAAUGCUGGAUCCUUAACCCACCACCCUGGGCUGAGGAUCGAACCCUUACCUCAACAGCUACCUGAGCCUCUGCAGUCAGAUUCUUAACCCACUUGGAUGCAGAGGGAACUCCCAACAUUUUGCAUAUUUAGUUGAACAUUACUCAUUAUAGAAUACUCCCCCAAAACUCUCAAUUGAGAGUGAGGAGUCUGGAGCUAUAACUUUGCAGCCAACUUGCCACCAAGAGUGAUGCUCUUCGAAGUUCAGCAGCUUUUAUUAACACAGAAGUUUAAAAUAUCUAUUUUAUCUUCACAAAAACCCCAUUCGUGGCUUCAGCUCUGUAAAAGGGCCCAACCAAGGUAACCAAACAUGAGGUAAAGACUUGAGACCGUUUUACAGUAAACUCCAAUACUGUCAGCCACAAACUCAGCCGAAUUCUCACAGACUGAAAAUAAAGAUUAGCAAUCAUUUAGUUUCUAAAAUACA
rnacentral:lncRNA from 1 species